rnacentral:rRNA from 1 species
UCGAGGAUCUUCGGCAAUGGGCGCAAGCCUGACCGAGCGACGCCGCGUGUGCGAAGAAGGCCUUCGGGUUGUAAAGCACUGUCGGGGGGGAGGAAGGCGCAAGCUUGACCGACCCCCGGAGGAAGCACGGGCUAAGUUCGUGCCAGCAGCCGCGGUAAGACGAACCGUGCGAACGUUGUUCGGAAUCACUGGGCUUAAAGGGCGCGUAGGCGGGCACUCCAGUCUGUGGUGAAAGCCUCCCGCUUAACGGGAGAAGUGCCGCGGAUACUGAGUGUCUCGAGGGGUGUAGGGGCACGCGGAACUUCCGGUGGAGCGGUGAAAUGCGUAGAGAUCGGAAGGAACGCCGGUGGCGAAAGCGGCGUGCUGGGCACCUUCUGACGCUGAGGCGCGAAAGCCAGGGGAGCGAACGG